GAUUGGUGAAGACAAAGAACAGUUUGAAAUACCCUGGGAAGUUUGGCAUAGUCUAAGGCAUGGAAGCCUCAAGGGUAGACUUUGGAUUUAGUACUAAGUGCCAAAUGAAAGCUGCCCUGCAGAGAGUAGUAAAAUCAGGACUCCUGGUGACGGAAUCAAGGCAGGUGACAGAAUCAAGGCUUAUCAACUGAGCUGCAUCUGAAGCCCACGUGCACAUCAAGAGAGUCAUAAUCCAGAUGAAAAUGAGACAGAAGCAUGUUGUCCUCUGUGAGCCUCCACCCAGCAGAUGACUCAGGAAGAUACAGACACCUACAGCCAUACAGUGGAUGGAGGGUGAGGACUCUUCUGGAAG